AAAAAAGGGUUAGGUAGGUAGGUAGGUCAGGUCUAGCUCUCUCUCGAGCAGAGGAAGGAAGGAGGUCGAGGGAGGUCUAGCUCUUUCUCUAGCGGCGGCGGUGGAGGGAGGUCGCCUCGAGCGGCGGCAGGUACCGGAGGGGGUGCGGGAGGACGAGGCGAACGAGGAGGAGGGAGGUGCGGAGGGCGCGCGGCAACGGCUAAAGGGUUUGGUCUGGCGGAGGGGCCAAGUGAGGAAGGAGGGGAGGGUGGGUGGGCGGAGCCGCGGCGGUGGGUUGAGCGGCUGCUGGAAUGCGUAGCGGCGGCCGGAGGCGAGGGAGGGGAGGGUGUGCGGGCUGCGGGGUGGGAGAGGUGGAGGGGAAGAGGGGGAUGGGGGUCAUCGUGGGUCCGGGUUGUCGUGUACGCCGUCGGUCUAGGGUCUAGGUCGUGCGGCCGAACACGGAGUGGCCUCCACGGGUCGUCUCACUCCACCCGACGGGCGCACGUGUGCGGUACCUGGAGGCAGUGCCCUGCGGUUGCGCAGAGCAGACGGACCGGCGCAGUGGUCUGACAACGGACGAACGAGGGACGGCUGCGGUAGGGCACGAGCCCUGCGGCGCGGAUGGUGCGGGGCUGCAGGGAGGAGGGAGCGGGGACGCAGCCCGGGCAGCAGGCAGGGGCUCUACCUCUCCCACGAGUUCCUACUACGGUAGGUCCUCUUCCCGCUCGCGCGGUCCCACCACCGUCCGAAUAUGCCGUAGCGCUCGUCCUCCCGGUACUCCCCAAACGACGAGACGAGGAUCCCGCUGGUUCUCCAGGACGGGGCUCGAGUUCGUGCAGGUGCGGCUGGGUGGUACUGUCUACUGGUUCGGGUUCCUCCUUCGUCGACGAGUAGUGACUCCUGUUCAUUGAGGUCGUCCAACUGCGGCAUCUAAGUGUUACAUGGAAGAUGAUCAGCUUACGGGCACGCAACGGUGCCUAUGCUUUAUUUUACAUCCACAAUACUAAUAUAUAAACAAAAUUAAGUUUUUACACACGUCUUCUACCGCCAUGUACUAAAAGUAAGUACAGGUGAACGACGUAACGAGGUUCAGUCGGAAACACAAAGUAAUCCGUGGGAAAAGAACGUACGUCGCUUUCACUAUAUAGAGAGGGAAGGGAGAACGGGGUGGUGGUAAGAGAAGUAGGUGGGAAUGAGAUCGUAACAACCACGAUCAGUACCUGAGUAUCGACAACAAGGAUUACCGAUGUGUAUAAGAACGUGGUUAUAUACGAAGAACGGUGUAGAACCUGCGUAUAUAGCGAACGUAGUUUAAGACUGGCUUUGUGGUACGAUAAUAUCACGUGUUGAUAGUUUGGGUCCGUCUCUUCCGAAUUACAGUUUCCCACAUUUUAACCCGACCCAAAAACCCUACAGAAGAACU
rnacentral:rRNA from 1 species